rnacentral:tRNA from 1 species
UCACUGGUGGCUCAGACAGUAAAGAACCCGCCUGCAACGUGGGAGACCCGGGUUCAAUCCCUGGCUUGGGAA